UACGGGGGGGCAAGCGUUGUUCGGAAUUACUGGGCGUAAAGGGCGCGUAGGCGGUUGGAUAAGUCAGCUGUGAAAACCACGGGCUCAACUCGUGGCCUGCAGUUGAGACUGUCUGGCUUGAGUGUGGGAGAGGAGAGUGGAAUUCCUGGUGUAAGCGGUGAAAUGCGUAGAUAUCAGGAGGAACACCGGGUGGCGAAAGGCGGCUCUCUGGACCACAACUGACGCUGAGGCGCGAAAGCGUGGGGAGCAAACAGG
rnacentral:rRNA from 1 species